AGCUUGUAGUUUUUAAUUAUAAGUGACUUCUGCCCAAUGAUUUUUUUUUAAUGGCCGCAGUACCCUGACUGUGCUAAGGUAGCAUAAUAAGUUGGCUUUUAAUUGGAGUCUGGAAUGAAUGAAAUAACGGAAAAAAACUGUCUUUUUAUAGAUCUUAAUAAUUUUCUUAAAUGGUGAAAAUUCCAUUUUAAUAAAAUAGGACGAGAAGACCCUAAGAAUUUUUAAGAAAAAUUUUAGAUAAAUUUUAAUUUUUAGCUGGGGCGGCUUAAGACCAAAAUUAAACGUCUUAAAAUAUUUAUCUGUUUUUAACAGUUCUGAUUAAUAUUACCUUAGGGAUAACAGCAUAAUUUUGUUUUUAGUUUGUGACCUCGAUGUUGGACUAGGAUAAUUAUGAUUAAAAGUCUAAAGAUUUUGUUCUGUUCGAACACUUUUUCCUACAU
rnacentral:rRNA from 1 species